CAUUGCAUACUGAAUACAUAGGUAUGCAAAGCGAACGCGGCGAACUGAAACAUCUAAGUAGCUGCAGGAAAAGAAAUCAACCGAGAUUCCCAAAGUAGUGGCGAGCGAAAUGGGAUGAGCCUGUACGUGAUAGUCGAACUGAUAGUGGAACAGAUUGGAAACUCUGGCCAUAGCGGGUGAUAGCCCCGUACACGAAAUCAGAUCGGUGGUACUAAGCGUACGACAAGUAGGGCGGGACACGAGAAAUCCUGUCUGAACAUGGGGGGACCAUCCUCCAAGGCUAAAUACUCGUAAUCGACCGAUAGUGAACCAGUACCGUGAGGGAAAGGCGAAAAGAACCCCGGGAGGGGAGUGAAAUAGAUCCUGAAACCGUGUGCAUACAAACAGUCGGAGCCUCUUUAUGGGGUGACGGCGUACCUUUUGUAUAAUGGGUCAGCGACUUACAUUCAGUGGCGAGGUUAACCGAAUAGGGGAGCCGUAGAGAAAUCGAGUCCGAACAGGGCGACAGUCGCUGGGUGUAGACCCGAAACCAAGUGAUCUACCCAUGGCCAGGAUGAAGGUGCGGUAACACGCCCUGGAGGUCCGAACCCACUAAUGUUGAAAAAUUAGGGGAUGAGCUGUGGGUAGGGGUGAAAGGCUAAACAAACUUGGAAAUAGCUGGUUCUCUCCGAAAACUAUUUAGGUAGUGCCUCAAGUAUCACCAUCGGGGGUAGAGCACUGUUAUGGCUAGGGGGUCAUUGCGACUUACCAAACCAUUGCAAACUCCGAAUACCGAUGAGUGCGAGCUUGGGAGACAGACGUCGGGUGCUAACGUCCGGCGUCAAGAGGGAAACAACCCAGACCGCCAGCUAAGGUCCCAAAGAUUGGCUAAGUGGAAAACGAAGUGGGAAGGCUAAAACAGUCAGGAUGUUGGCUUAGAAGCAGCCACCAUUUAAAGAAAGCGUAAUAGCUCACUGAUCGAGUCGUCCUGCGCGGAAGAUGUAACGGGGCUAAGCCAGUCACCGAAGCUGCGGAUAUCUAGCAAUAGAUAUGGUAGGAGAGCGUUCUGUAAGCCUGCGAAGGUGUCUUGUAAAGGAUGCUGGAGGUAUCAGAAGUGCGAAUGCUGACAUGAGUAGCGAUAAUGCGGGUGAAAAGCCCGCACGCCGUAAGCCCAAGGUUUCCUGUUCAACGUUCAUCGGAGCAGGGUGAGUCGGCCCCUAAGGCGAGGCAGAGAUGCGUAGCUGAUGGGAAGCAGGUUAAUAUUCCUGCACCGUCGUAUGAUGCGAUGGGGGGACGGAUCGCGGAAGGUUGUCUAGCUGUUGGAAUAGCUAGUUUCUGAUUCAUAGAAGGUGCUUAGGCAAAUCCGGGCACGUAAUUCAAGGGAUUGGGACGAGGGACUUAGGUCCUGAAGCAAUCGGAAGUGGUUCCAAGAAAAGCCUCUAAGCUUCAGUCAUACGAGACCGUACCGCAAACCGACACAGGUGGGCGAGAUGAGUAUUCUAAGGCGCUUGAGAGAACUCGGGAGAAGGAACUCGGCAAAUUGGUACCGUAACUUCGGGAUAAGGUACGCCCCGGUAGCUUGACUGCUUUACUGCAGAAGGGCGAAAGGGUUGCAAUAAACUGGUGGCUGCGACUGUUUAAUAAAAACACAGCACUCUGCAAACACGAAAGUGGACGUAUAGGGUGUGACGCCUGCCCGUUGCUGGAAGAUUAAAUGAUGGGGUGCAAGCUCUUGAUUGAAGUCCCAGUAAACGGCGGCCGUAACUAUAACGGUCCUAAGGUAGCGAAAUUCCUUGUCGGGUAAGUUCCGACCUGCACGAAUGGCGUAACGAUGGCCACACUGUCUCCUCCCGAGACUCAGCGAAGUUGAAAUGUUUGUGAUGAUGCAAUCUACCCGCGGCUAGACGGAAAGACCCCAUGAACCUUUACUGUAGCUUUGCAUUGGACUUUGAACCAAUCUGUGUAGGAUAGGUGGGAGGCUUUGAAGCGGGGACGCCAGUUCUCGUGGAGCCA
rnacentral:rRNA from 1 species